CAAGCUAGGCUCCCCGGCUCCAGACUCCAGGUGUCCAGACUCGUCCAACUCCCUUGUGCCCCGUAAGGUUUUCCGGGUUUGUGGCUCGCCUUUCACCCAGAGCCAACUUUUACGCGGUUGUUCUAUCCUUCCGCCACCCAACUGGACUCUCGACUCGGACUCGACUCGACCCAACUGCUGAGUUGGCCGGUGACUGUUAGCUGUCGGCUGGCUGCACUGCACUCCUUCUCUUCUCUUUGUCCUCCACUCUGCUAUCCCCCUUCCACUUCCAUUCAUCGUGGCAGCUCGCUGCACGAUGCUUUUUACCUCCCCGACCUCCUUUGUAAACGCGCAUAUCCUCCACAACUCCUCCCACUCCUCCUCCUCCUCCUCCUCCUCCUCCUCCAUCUCCUCCAUCUCCGCUCUCAAGCAGCAUGUAGCCCAGCAACACCUGGCCGCCGCUGCCGCCGGCUGGCCUUCUCACUCUUCUCUCUUGCUCAACACCGCUGCUUCUCCGCAGGCUGCUCAACCUCCGCUGCCGCGGCUUGUCAUCCUGGUCCUGUCCGCAGUCCUCGAGAUCGUCUGCAUCAGUCUCCCCGGCUAUAUCCUAGCCCGUAUGGGCAGGUUCGAUGCGGAGGCCCAGAAAUUCGUCGCCAAUCUCAAUGUCGCAUUGUUUACCCCAUGUCUCGUCUUCGCAAAACUUGCCUCCCAAUUAACAGCGGGAAAACUGACAGACCUGGCCAUCAUCCCUUGCAUCUUCGCGGUCCAGACUGCGGUCUCCUAUCUGUGUGCCUCCGUGGUCUCUCGGCUGUUCCGCUUCAACAAGCCCCAGUCCAACUUUGUGGUUGCCAUGGGCGUCUUUGGGAACUCCAAUUCGCUACCCAUCUCGCUCGUGUUGUCGCUGGCCCACACUCUAGAAGGCCUGCGCUGGGAUCGCAUACCAAACGACAACAGCCAGGAGGUUGCAGCCAGGGGCAUCCUCUAUCUCCUGAUCUUCCAGCAACUGGGCCAGCUGCUUCGAUGGAGCUGGGGCUAUCGCGUCCUCCUAGCCCCGCCGGAGUCAUACCACAGAGACGAGGAAGAAAUCGCUGCCGCUCGCAUCUGCAGUUCCGAACGAUAUACUGACGAACCGGACAAUGCCACGACACCUGCAUAUAGCCAGACACUCAUAGACACCACCGAUAACGAUAAUGUCGAACAUGCCGCGCCCAGCGGCUCAUCGAGUUUCGCGGACAUAUCCCACUUUGAAUCCGGAGGAGUAACCCCUAUCACAACACGACAGUACUCCUAUUCAAAAUUAGUUGCAAUGGAUGACUCAGGGGAAGUCGACGCUGAACAUGAAGCCGAAGACCAACCACCACCUCUCUUGCGGUUACCAAUACCAAACUGCCAAUUUGUUCCUAGCCAAUUCUCCACGCACCAAAUGCCAGAACCCCAGCC
rnacentral:sRNA from 1 species